rnacentral:rRNA from 1 species
AUUGAACGCUGGCGGCAGGCCUAACACAUGCAAGUCGAGCGGUAACAUUUCUAGCUUGCUAGAAGAUGACGAGCGGCGGACGGGUGAGUAAUGCUUGGAAAUCUGCCUGGUAGUGGGGGACAACAGUUGGAAACGACUGCUAAUACCGCAUAACCUCUUCGGAGCAAAGUGGGGGACCCUCGGGCCUCACGCUACCAGAUGAGUCCAAGUGGGAUUAGCUAGUUGGUGAGGUAAAGGCUCACCAAGGCGACGAUCCCUAGCUGGUUUGAGAGGAUGAUCAGUCACACUGGAACUGAGACACGGUCCAGACUCCUACGGGAGGCAGCAGUGGGGAAUAUUGCACAAUGGAGGAAACUCUGAUGCAGCAACGCCGCGUGGAGGAUGAC